rnacentral:lncRNA from 1 species
AUGCUAAGAAAUCUGUGUUUGCAGCCCUCAGAGAAGAUGCAUCAUUGGUUCUCCAAGCACUGGGACAUACACUUGAAAGGAGACCACACCAACCCAAAAUCAGGAUUUCUAACCUGCUCGUCAGGGCUCUGGCUCGAGAAGUCCCAGCCUGCUGUACCUGCGUGCUGGCUCCUUGGCAAGGAUGAUAGUGCAACACGUGCUUUGCUGAGCCAAAGCAAAAUGGCAUUGCUGCCUAUCCAUGCUGGCUGUCAGCAGGCCCAUGCGAUUUGUGUCACUGCUCUGCCAUUUCAGCAAAGUCUUCAGGAAUAUGUCAACCUGAAAAAGGAUAUUUUCUGGAUCCAAAAUACUUGCUCUUACAUCUGGUUCAAAAUACAGGACACAGCAGCAGAUGGAAGGAAACACAGCUGA